CACGUAGGGUGCGAGCGUUGUCCGGAAUUAUUGGGCGUAAAGAGCUCGUAGGCGGUGUGUCGCGUCGGCCGUGAAAACCUGCAGCUUAACUGUGGGCUUGCGGUCGAUACGGGCAUCACUGGAGUUCGGCAGGGGAGACUGGAAUUCCUGGUGUAGCGGUGAAAUGCGCAGAGAUCGGGAGGAACACCAAUGGCGAAAGCAGGUACCUGGACCAUUACUGACACUCAGCUGCGAAAGCUAGGGGAGCAAACAGG
rnacentral:rRNA from 1 species